rnacentral:rRNA from 1 species
GCUAGUUGGUAGGGUAWGGCGGCCUACAAGGCAACGAUCAGUAGCCGGCCUGAGAGGGUGGACGGCCACMCUGGGACUGAGAACGGCCCAGACUCCUACGGGAGGCAGCAGUGGGGAAUWUGCGCAAUGGGGGAAACCCUGACGCAGCGACGCCGCGUGAGCGAAGAAGGCUUCGGGUUGUAAAAGCUCUGUUGUAAGGGACGAAAGAUCAAGGGAGUAACUGCCCUUGAAGUGACGGUACCUUACCAGCAAGCCCCGGCUAACUACGUGCCAGCAGCCGCGGUAAGACGUAGGGGGCGAGCGUUGUCCGGAAUUACUGGGCGUAAAGAGCACGUAGGCGGAUGUAUAAGUCAGGUGUGAAAGACCGCAGCCUAACUGCGGGGUUGCACUUGAAACUGUAUAUCUUGAGGGCAGGAGAGGUUAGUAGAAUUCCUGGUGUAGCGGUGAAAUGCGUAGAAAUCAGGAGGAAUACCAGUGGCGAAGGCGACUGACUGGACUGACCCUGACGCUGAGGUGCGAAAGCGUGGGUAGCAAACAGGAUUAGAUACCCUGGUAGUCCACGCCGUAAACGAUGGAUACUAGGUGUGGGAGGUAUCGACCCCUUCCGUGCCGCAGCUAACGCAAUAAGUAUCCCGCCUGGGGAGUACGGUCGCAAGGCUGAAACUCAAAGGAAUUGACGG